rnacentral:rRNA from 1 species
AUUGAACGCUGGCGGCAGGCCUAACACAUGCAAGUCGAACGAGUGGCGGACGGGUGAGUAAUGUAUGGGAAACUGCCUGAUGGAGGGGGAUCACUACUGGAAACGGUAGCUAAUACCGCAUACCAUCGGAUGUGCCCAGAUGGGAUUAGCUAGUAGGUGGGGUAAUGGAUCACCUAGGCGCCGAUCCCUAGCUGGGCUGAGAGGAUGACGAGCCCCACUGAGACUGGGACACGGUCCAGACUCCUACGGAAGGCAGCAGUGGGGAAUAUUGCACAAUGGGCGCAAGCCUGAUGCAGCCAUGCCGCGUGUAUGAAGAAGGCCUUCGGGUUGUAAAGUACUUUCAGCGGGGAGGCGUUACCCGCAGAAGAAGCACCGGCUAACUCCGUGCCAGCCGCCGCGGUAAUUC